GGCGCAGCUCGCCAGCCAACUCCCGAAGCCUCUGCCGGCUCUGCCCUCCACUUUGUCACCAACCACUUCUCGCGCCCAUCCCCCUUCCUUGCUCAGGGCUCAAUCCGCACAUUUGGAGGCACCCAAACCAGAAGGGGAAGAGAUCCGCAGGGUUCCGAGGCUCUGAGCAGUGCCCGUGCCCGUGUCUGUGCCUCGAGAGCGCUGGCUGCCAGGCUGGGCAACAACAUUGUGUUCCUGUUUCGGCUUCUGCCACCUUGACAGCACAGCUAUUCUGAGAUGGUGCGAAGUGGGGGACGUUUCUGGGUCUCUAGAAAAUCAUCCUAAGGUCCUUUAGCUGUGGCUCAGCAACUCCUAAUCCAUGAUGUGAAUUCACAGCAAGUGCGUGAGGCAAACAUCCAACAAACGUAACACAAAUAAAUACCUUUGAUGUGGCUCAAAGUUCAGUCUCAGAACAUCAAUGCAGCUAAAAUAAACAGACCCGACUCCAGAAAGCCUUGGCAUGAGCGCAGGUCUUCAUUCGCUGACUUUUGACGGAGAGGCGAGAAUCACAUUGUCCAGGUCUGCAGCCAGCAGUCCUCCUGCUCCCUAAAGGUCCAUGGGUCCUGCUUGUCACAAAGCCUGCACCUGUGGUCUCCUUUUCUCCCUCCGCCCCCUGGUCCAGACUCCCACAAACGCCACCCACCGUGCUUGUUCCCUUAUUCCACCGCCCCUCCAAUCCUUCCACCUUGGGGGACCAUCUAUCUCUCUGUGCCCACCAGUUGUCAUGUUCCUCACUCCCUACACAGUUCAGCCCAACAGAGUUCUGUUACCUGCCUGGAAGAACGUCAAGUAUAUACUGUAUGAUAAUGCAAUGUUCAUCAAAUUAAACUGACUUUGUUUGUU